AUUGAACGCUGGCGGCAGGCCUAACACAUGCAAGUCGAACGAGUGGCGGUUGGGUGCGUAAUGUUUGGGCAACUGUCCGAUGGAGGGGGAUAACUACUGAAAAUGGUAGACAAUACCGCAUACUAUCGUAUGUUCCCAGAUGGGAUUACCUAGUAGGUGGGGUAAAGUCUCACCUAGGCGACGAUCCCUAGCUGGUCUGAGAGGAUGACCAGCCACACUGGAACUGAGACACGGUCCAGACUCCUACGGGAGGCAGCAGUGGGGAAUAUUGCACAAUGGGCGCAAGCCUGAUGCAGCCAUGCCGCGUGUAUGAAGAAGGCCUUCGGGUUGAAAAGUAUUUUCAGCGGGGAGGCGUUACCCGCAGAAGAAGCACCGGCUAACUCCGUGCCAGCAGCCGCGGUAAUAC
rnacentral:rRNA from 1 species